GAUGAAGAACGUAGCGAAAUGCGAUAAGUAGUGUGAAUUGCAGAAUUCAGUGAAUCAUCGAAUCUUUGAACGCACAUUGCGCCCCUUGGUAUUCCAUGGGGCAUGCCUGUUCGAGCGUCAUUUGUACCUUCAAGCUCUGCUUGGUGUUGGGUGUUUGUCUCGCCUCUGCGUGUAGACUCGCCUCAGAACAAUUGGCAGCCGGCGUAUUGAUUUCGGAGCGCAGUACAUCUCGCGCUUUGCACUCAUAACGACGACGUCCAAAAGUACAUUUUUACACUCUUGACCUCGGAUCAGGUAGGGAUACCCGCUGAACUUAAGCAUAUCAAUAAGCGGAGGA
rnacentral:misc_RNA from 1 species